UACGUAGGGUGCAAGCGUUAAUCGGAAUUACUGGGCGUAAAGCGUGCGCAGGCGGUUAUGUAAGACAGGUGUGAAAUCCCCGGGCUUAACCUGGGAACUGCAUUUGUGACUGCAUAGCUAGAGUACGGUAGAGGGGGAUGGAAUUCCGCGUGUAGCAGUGAAAUGCGUAGAUAUGACGGAGGAACACCGAUGGCGAAGGCAAUCCCCUGGAC
rnacentral:rRNA from 1 species